GGGGCUGUAGCUCAGCUGGGAGAGCGCGUCGUUCGCAAUGACGAGGUCAGGGGUUCGAUCCCUCUCAGCUCCACCA
rnacentral:tRNA from 132 species